rnacentral:SRP_RNA from 1 species
GUAGGGUGUGCCUGUAAUCCCUACUACUGGGGUUGCUCAAGGUAGAUAGAUUCCUGGAGCUCUAGAGUUCUAAGUUGCAGUGGGCUAAGCCAAUUGGGCAUCUGUACUAAAUCUAGCAUCAGUAUGGUGGUCCUCUAAGGGUAGAAGGGUCACCAGACUGCAUAAGGAGGGGCAAACCAGCCCAGGUCAGAAAUGAAGCAAGUCAAAGCUUCUUUGCCAGUCUUUAGUGAAAUAGGGCUUAUGAAUGGCUUCUGAACUCCCAGAUUGGGAGACCUAUUCU